rnacentral:rRNA from 1 species
GUCGUACGAGAGUUUUUAACUCAAGUGGCGGACGGGUGAGUAACACGUAAGAAUUUGCCUCUAGGAGGGGGAUAACAACUGGAAACGGUUGCUAAUACCCCAUAUGCUUUCGAGUGAAAUGGAUUUCCGCCUAGAGAGAAGCUUGCGGCUGAUUAGCUUGUUGGUGGGGUAAUGGCUCACCAAGGCGACGAUCAGUAUCUGGUUUGAGAGGACGAUCAGACACACUGGAACUGAGACACGGUCCAGACUCCUACGGGAGGCAGCAGUGGGGAAUUUUCCGCAAUGGGCGAAAGCCUGACGGAGCAAUACCGCGUGAGGGAUGACGGCCUAUGGGUUGUAAACCUCUUUUUUCAGGGAGGAAUCAAUGACGUGUACCUGAAGAAUAAGCAUCGGCUAACUCCGUGCCAGCAGCCGCGGUAAGACGGAGGAUGCAAGUGUUAUCCGGAAUCACUGGGCGUAAAGCGUCUGUAGGUGGUUUAAUAAGUCAACUGUUAAAUCUUGAGGCUCAACCUCAAAAUCGCAGUCGAAACUAUUAGACUAGAGUAUAGUAGGGGUAAAGGGAAUUUCCAGUGGAGCGGUGAAAUGCGUAGAUAUUGGAAGGAACACCGAUGGCGAAGGCACUUUACUGGGCUAUUACUAACACUCAGAGACGAAAGCUAGGGUAGCAAAUGGGAUUAGAUACCCUGGUAGUCCCCUGAAUUCCAGCACACU